GCGACCCCAGGUCAGGCGGGACUACCCGCUGANUUUAAGCAUAUCAAUAAG
rnacentral:rRNA from 1 species